rnacentral:misc_RNA from 1 species
AACGCACAUUGCGCCCUCUGGUAUUCCGGAGGGCAUGCCUGUUCGAGCGUCAUUACAACCCUCAAGCUCUGCUUGGUGUUGGGCUUCGGGCGUCAGCCUGGGCUCUAAAAUCAGUGGCGGUGCCACCUGGCUCUGAGCGUAGUACAUCUCUCGCUAUAGACGCCCGGUGGAUGCUGGCCAGAACCCCUAUAUUUUUUUAUGGUUGACCUCGGAUCAGGUAGGGAUACCCGCUGAACUUAA